GACGAACGCUGGCGGCGCGCCUAACACAUGCAAGUCGAACGGAGCUUGAGAGAGCUUGCUUUUUUAAGCUUAGUGGCGAACGGGUGAGUAACGCGUGAGUAACCUGCCCUGGAGAGGGGAAUAACGUUUGGAAACGAACGCUAAUACCGCAUAACGUGCGGUCCUCGCAUGGGGACUGUACCAAAGAUUUUAUCGCUGGAAGAUGAGCUCGCGGCCGAUUAGGUAGUUGGUGAGAUAACAGCCCACCAAGCCGACGAUCGGUAGCCGGACUGAGAGGUUGAUCGGCCACAUUGGGACUGAGACACGGCCCAG
rnacentral:rRNA from 1 species